rnacentral:rRNA from 2 species
ACUGUUAGACUUGAAUUAUUAGGAAGUAACUAGAAUAUGUAGUGUAGCGGUGAAAUGCUUAGAGAUUACAUGGAAUACCAAUUGCGAAGGCAGGUUACUACUAAUUGAUUGACGCUGAUGGACGAAAGCGUGGGUAGCGAACAGGAUUAGAUACCCUGGUAGUCCACGCCGUAAACGAUGGAUACUAGCUGUUGGAAGCAAUUUCAGUGGCUAAGCGAAAGUGAUAAGUAUCCCACCUGGGGAGUACGUUCGCAAGAAUGAAACUCAAAGGAAUUGACGGGGGCCCGCACAAGCGGUGGAGCAUGUGGUUUAAUUCGAUGAUACGCGAGGAACCUUACCAAGGCUUAAAUGUAGAUUGACCGGUUUGGAAACAGAUCUUUCGCAAGACAAUUUACAAGGUGCUGCAUGGUUGUCGUCAGCUCGUGCCGUGAGGUGUCAGGUUAAGUCCUAUAACGAGCGCAACCCCUGUUGUUAGUUGCCAGCGAGUCAAGUCGGGAACUCUAACAAGACUGCCAGUGCAAACUGUGAGGAAGGUGGGGAUGACGUCAAAUCAUCACGGCCCUUACGCCUUGGGCUACACACGUGCUACAAUGGCCGGUACAGAGAGCAGCCACUGGGCGACCAGGAGCGAAUCUAUAAAACCGGUCACAGUUCGGAUCGGAGUCUGCAACUCGACUCC